rnacentral:lncRNA from 1 species
UUGAAACAACCUGAAAUAAAAUCACCAUUAUCUAACUUGAUUCAGUAAUCAGCUAAUAUUAUUUAGGAUUUUUUGCAUCUAUGGUUGUGAGAGCUAUUAACCUGUAAUAUUCCUUUCUUCUAACAUCCUUGUCAGAUUUUGUUGUCAAGAUUGUACUACCCAGGAAAUUUUAAAAUAUGUCUUUUUUUCCGUUCUCCAACAGAUCUUAGGUGAGGUUGGUGUUAUUUUUAUCUUAAAUGUUUGGAAUAAUUUAUUACUAAACUCAUCUGCCCCUGGAAUUUCCUAUGUGGAAAAGUUUUCAUUUUCAGGCAUAUUUCUUCACUAGACAUAGGACUAUUCAAUUUGUAUAAUGCUGCUUGUGUAUGUGUUUAUAAAUUUAAUUUUGAAGUAACUUUACUGGUAUAUCAAAAUUUUACAAUUUAUCUACUUAUUUAUUUUAGGCCAAACUUUUAUAAUUUAAUGACAUCAUUUUGUUUUGUUUUGUUUUUUUCUUUCAUUUUUAUUAUUUACUAGUUUCUUUUUUUUCUGUUUUUAUUAUACUGUAAGUUUUAGGGU